rnacentral:tRNA from 1 species
AUCCUGAUAGUCUAUUUAAGACUGUAAACUGUAAAUUUAUCAACGGCCUCCCUCAGGAGA